GAGACCAUGCAGAACUCCUGUGUGCUGGAAUGAAGUGGGAGAGCGGAAGUUAGUAGGUCCUGAGUUGGUUCAGAUUACGACAAACAAUAUUAAGUUGAUCAGAGAAAAUCUGAGGAAAGCCCAAGAUCGACAGAAAAGUUAUGCGGAUAAGCGACGAAGAAACCUAGAAUUCCAAGUUGGAGAUCAAGUUUUCUUGAAAUUAUCUCCAUGGCGAGGUGUUAUUCGUUUCGGAAGAAAAGGUAAGUUAAGUCCUAGAUAUAUUGGGCCAUAUCAGACAACAGAACGAGUGGGACCAGCAGCGUAUAGACUUGAGUUGCCAAUAGAACUUGCACGAAUACAUGAUGUUUUCCAUGUAUCCAUGUUAAGAAAAUAUAUACCAGAUCCAUCGCAUGUGUUGCAAGAUCAACCAGUUGAAUUAAAAGAAGAUUUGAGUUAUGUUGAAGAACCAGUUCAGAUUCUCGACAGAAAGGAACAAGUUUUGAGAAACAAAACGAUUCCACUCAUAAAGGUUUUGUGGAGACAUCAUGGAGCGGAGGAGGCAACUUGAGAACCAGAAUAUCAGAUGAAGAAGAGCUAUCCGAUACUUUUCAGUUAAGGACAUUCUAAAUUUCGAGGACGAAAUUUUCUAAAGGGAAGGUAAGUUGUAAACCUGAUAUUUUCUUGGUUUAAUUUCUUUAAAUGUGGAAAAAAAAAAGAAAAAGAAAAUGGAAAUUAAGUGUAAAUAUAAAUAUAUAUAUUUAUAUAUUAAAUAGUUUUAUUAAAUUAAUUAAAGAAAAGAAAGAAAAGAAAGGACAAAAAGAAGAAAAGGAGAAGAAAAUUUCAUUUUCUCUUUUCUUCUUCUUCUUCUCUUCCCUUCACCGCCAAGUUUGAAGACAUCCAAGUUCCCUUUAUUUUUUUUUUCUUUUUCCUUCUUCAAUUUGCAGAGAACUUCUAAGAGAGAUUUUGGAAGAAGAAGAGAAAUUUUACUAGAAUUUUUAGGUUGAAGAAGAGGAGGAGAACUCAAGCAAAGUGUAUCAAUGGCUGAAUUUUAGUUCAUUCUGCACAUCACUGGUUUUUAAUUCGGUUUGAACUCUUCAAAAGGAAUUAAGAGGUGAGAUUUACAUUUACUGAAAGUUAACUCAUUUUUAAACAAACUUUAUGAAGAACGUUGGAGCAAAUUCGGAUAUUCAUUUGGUGCUUUUUGAUGAAGAAAACAGGGCAGUUGGUUUUCACUCGAAAUCAGGAGGUCUCUGGUUUUUCUUGUAUUUCAGAGUGUAUCGGUGGAGUUAGAAUCUCUAUUUGGUAUGGUUGGAAAGCUUAUUCAAUUUACUACAACUUUCAUGAAGAAAUUGUAAACCAAAAACGACUAAAAAUUGGAUAAAUUGUAGGAACAAGUUAAAGAGGUCGUGUGCGCGCGAUUCUGGAAGUGGUUCUGUUUUGAGGGUUAUAUGUGUUUAUGCACGGGGAAUCAGAUUUAUAUGUCUUCAGGUAAGUUUUAGAGGAUCUCAAAAUGAAGAGUUUGAUAUAAAGAACACUCAUUUUGGUUAAGUAUUGAGAAAGUUAUAGUCCUUUGAAGUUUAUGUUAGAAAUCUGGAAAUUUUAGAGAAUUGUUGAAAUAGGAUUUUAUUUCUUAAGCUUUAUUUUCGUGAGCGUCAUCUUUGGUGCGACAUGUUAUGUAUAUCUUUAGGAAACCAGAAUGUUUAGGGUUUUAAUACUCGGUUGGGUUGUUGGCAGGCCGAGAAGAAUUAAACCGAGCUUAUAGACCAAGGAUCUAGCCCAAGACUGUAGAGAUCCACUUCCCGGUGCCUGAUAGACUGCCUUAGUCUGCGGAAGCUUCAUUAUCGAUUGCCAGUACGUGUUUUGAGUUAGGCAUAAAGUCUGUUGUGUUGUGAUGUAUUCACACCCUUGUAUGUUAUAGAUACUCCACAGUUUGUAUAAGCUUUAGGAGAUGUAGUUGUGUAAAUUUUGUUGGUUAUAUUUUGAUUAAGGUGUCUUUAGGUUUACUCGUGAAAUCGGUAAAUUUUGAGGUACACUUCAUGUAUGUGUUUGACUAGCUGUGUUUGACUAGCCUAGGAUCCGCUGUGUUUUGUGGCAUGUACAAUAGUUUAUAUACUAGAUUGGCAAGUUCAUCACAUGAAAGUUUUAAGCACAGUCGACAGAUACAGGUACAGAAAAACGUUGUUCGUCGGCUUCACGCCAUCUUUCGGUCUAAGGUAGCAGGUAGUCCGGGAGGGGGUGUGACAGAUCGAGCCGAUGCGUGCAAUAGCUGAACCGAACCAAGCCGAGAGCAACAAGCCGUGAGUCGAGCUACGAGCCACAAGCCGAGCCGUAAGCCGAGUUGAGCCGAGCCGCGAGCCGAGCCGUGAGCCGAGCCGCGAGUCACAAGCCGAGCCGAGCAGUAAGCUGAGUUGAGCCGAGCUGCGAGCCGAGCCGCGAGCCGAGCCGAGCCGAGUCGUGAGCCAAGCCGUGAGCCAAGGUCGAGCCGAGCCGAGCCGAGGGUGAGCCAAGCCGAGCCGAGCCACCUAAGCCAUAUUUUCCUCCCUCCACUUCGGGUCACGGUAUUAAGGAGUUGACGUUUAAGUUCUCGGGUUCCGCGGCAGGCUUGUUUGGAGAUAGCUUUCCUUUCCUUGGGUGGAUUCGUUGAGCGUGGACUCGAUCGAGGGGCAUAACCGAGUAUCAGGUAAGGGCACAGCGAGGGGCAGACCGACGAGAGGCAGGAAGGACGCGUGAAGGCCAUAUGGACGCAUCUGGUUUUCUUAUUGCUUCCGCUGAUGUAUUUUGUUAGAAUAUUUUGUUUUGUGAUUUUGAGUUGAUGACUUGAGUUUUUAUUUGAAA